CUAAGCAACCUCACAACCAUGGACUAUCCUGUGGUUCUAGGAGAGCCGAGGGCCACCCUAGACUGUCUUGGUGACACCCAUGGAGUGUGUUCUUUAAUGAAUAACUAAGACUUUCAAGAAAGGAGAAUAGGUCCUAGAGGGGGACCGAUUCUAAUGGGUGCAUAGAGGGUUUCCUUCGAAAGGUCAGGGGGAUUCAUUGAGUGACACUUAGAAGAAGUUGUGUGUGGGAGUUCUUUCCAAAUGAAAAGUGUCUGAAGGUAGAAGAUCAAUAGGAACAGGAGACAUCUGUGAGAUUCCCCCAGUGAAAGGCAUUGUAACAUCUCACAUCAUCACAAGAAGGGUUACAGUGAGCUUUUACAUGACUACACCUCCUGGGGAUGCUUUGGCCAACCCUGUGUGGAUGGUUCUUCAUUUCACAAGUGAGGGAACAGAGACUCAGAGCAGUGAAGUAACUUAACCGGAUCACGCAAGUGGAAACUAGAGGUGCUAGCACAAGAGGAGCAGCGGCGUAGCCGGUGUGGAACAACCUCUCUCCAUCCUCAAUCCUCAGCUGUGUAUUUAUUCAAUCACGGAGUCCUAGACAGAACCUGACACCAAGUCUUUGAUCCAGUGUGAUUUGCUUUUCCAACCAACCUUAUGUGCAAAUUUGGGUACCAUUAACAUCUGAUCUUUUAAAACAAAGGUGUAAAGUGUAUGUCUGUAAAUAAAAUAAACAAAAUUCCUGGGGUCAGAAGUUAUUUAAAAUAGAAUACAACUAUGGACAAAGGAUGAUAAAGCUAGAUAAAACUAGUUAUACAAGCAUGAAAAUUAUAAAAUUAUAUGUGUGUUCUUAAAAAAAUGGACUCGAACAGAACAUAAUCUUUUGGUAACUUAUUGGGAAUGUUUUCCCAGGCUCA
rnacentral:lncRNA from 1 species